rnacentral:rRNA from 1 species
CCCUUAGAUGUUCUGGGCCGCACGCGUGCUACGCUGAGUGGAUCAGCGGGUCAGGUUGCGCGAAAGUGUUUCCUAAUCUUUAAAUCCGCUCGUGAUGGGGAUUGACGGUUGCAAUUUUCCGCCAUGAACGAGGAAUACCUUGUAAGCGCGGGUCAUCAUCCCGCGCUGAAUACGUCCCUGCCCUUUGUACACACCGCCCGUCGCUCCUACCGAUUGAGUGGUCCGGUGAGGCUUUGGGAUCUGAGCGGAAAGAGCGUUUCGCUGUUUCUGCCCGGAAAACUCAGUCGAACCUUAUCAUUUAGAGGAAGGAGAAGUCGUAACA